GGGUUAGGAGCACAAGUGUGAAUACGUUCAGGAGAAACAUGUUCAGCACUUGGGUUGGGAUUGAGUUCAGGAGUUGAUUCAGAAGAUGUGUGUUCAGAUGUUGGUUCAGGAGAUUUUUCAGGUGUUGGUUCAGGAGAUUUGUGUUCAGAGGUUGGUUCAGGAGAUUUUUCAGGUGAGGGUUGUUUUGUGGGAGAGGCUUGUUCAGAGGUAGGAUUAUCUGGUUGGGGUUCAGAUGAUGGAAUGUCAGGUGAUUUGUGUGGUUGAGGUUGAGGUGAUUUGGAUUUAGGAGGUGAUGAAGAUUUGUUGGAUUCAUGAGAAAAAGGUUGAUUAUUUAGGGGGU
rnacentral:lncRNA from 1 species